CGAGGCCGGGCAGAGCAGCGCCGCCGCCGUCGGGCGCGCAGCUCUGCAGCGCCGCGAACGCCUCUGUGUCCGCAGCCCCCGGAGCCCCGCGGCUCCGCAUUGUCCCUGGCCCCCUGGCGGAGAUCCGGGACGAACGUCGCCGUCACUUCAAGAAAGGUCCUACGAAGCACACUCUGUGGUCAAGAAAAAUCGUGGCUUGGAAGGUUCACAAUUAGCCCAAAGAAACCAAGUGGAGAGGCCCAGCUGAAAGUCUCCUUAACUCUUCAGGUAGACUGAACUUUUUGUGUUUAUGAUUUUGAACAUUGUUUCAGGCUUUUAGAAAACACCAUUAUUGGCUUAUCUCUUAAAUCCUUUACAUUCUCUGGAGCAAAAUAAAUAAAAUAAAACAAGGA